rnacentral:misc_RNA from 1 species
GAUGAAGAACGUAGCGAAAUGCGAUAAGUAAUGCGAAUUGCAGAAUUCCAGUGAGUCAUUGAAUCUUUGAACGCACAUUGCGCCCUCGGGUAUUCCCGAGGGCAUGCCUGUCCGAGCGUCAUUAUCCAACCAUCAAGCUCGGCUUGCGGUUGAGCCCCGCACCGUCCCCGGGACGGUGGGCUCGAAACAUGUUGGGCGCCCGUGAGGUUCUCGGUGCAGCGAGCUCUCGAGCACGUGCCGGGCAACCUCUCUGGGCGUCGGCCAACCCCCCAAUUUCUCAGGUUGACCUCGGAUCAGGUAGGAAUACCCGCUGAACUUAAGCAUAUCAAUAAGCGGAGGA